rnacentral:lncRNA from 1 species
CAAGCGACCAAGCGCGCGGAGAAGGAAACGUCAACAUCUGAUCCGUCGGAGAGGAAUAAGAGAGAUAAUGAAAAAUUUCGCAAACUCUUUGUUGGUGGCUUGAGCUCUGAAACCACAGAAGAAACUCUAUGGAACUACUACCGGCAGUGGGGAUAUCUUACAGACUGUGUGGUCAUAAGAGACCCCGCCAGCCAGACAUCAAGAAGAUUUGCUUUUGUCACGUUUUCCUCCAUGGCUGAGGUGGAUGCUGCCAUGGCGGCCAGACCUCAUUCCAUCGAUGGGAAAAGGGUUGCCCCCAAACGCGCUGUCCCAAGAGAGGACUAUGGAAUACCAGGGGCUCUUGUCACUGUGAAGAAGCUGUUUGUUUGUAAAAUUGGAGAAGAUACGGAGAAGCAUCAUCUUAGAGAUUACUUUGGGAAAUAUGGAAAAAUCAAUGCCAUUGAGAUCAUUAGUGAUAGGGAGUCUGGAAGGAAAAGAGGCUUUGGGUUUGUGACUUUUGAUGACCACGAUCCCGUGGAUAAGCUUGUAUUGCAGAAAUACCAUACCAUCAAUGGUCAUCAUGCAGAAGUAAGAAAGGCCCUGUCUAGACCAGAAAUGCAGGAACUCCAGCAUUCUAGAAUAGGAAGGGGAGGACGUAAGGCUGAUUUCCUAUACUUGCAUGGUGGUGGUGGAAAUUUUGGAGCUGGACGAGGAAGGGACUUUAGAGAAGCAUCUGAUGGAAGUGGAAGCAGUGGUGAAUCUGGGGAUGGUGACCAUGGGUAUGGAGGAGGACCAGGAGGUGGUAGUUUGAGGGUUAGUCCUGGUUAUGGAGAAGGACGAGGAGGUUGUGAUGGAGAAGGACCUGGACAUGGCUACCAGGAUAGGGGUUGCAGGGCUGGUUAUAUCAACUAUGGAGGAAGGAAUGAUGGAAGUCAGAAUUGCAAUAAUUUGGGAAAUUAUAAGCAGAAACCUUCAAAGUACGAGUUACUGAAGAGUGGGAAACUGAGUGGUAGGAGGAAUAUGGGAAGAUCAUAUGGUGGAGCAAACUAUUGUCCAGGAGGCCAUGGAGGAAGUGGAGGUUAUGGAGAGACAGCAAUG